rnacentral:rRNA from 1 species
UACGUAGGGUGCGAGCGUUAAUCGGAAUUACUGGGCGUAAAGCGUGCGCAGGUGGUUCGCUAAGACAGAUGUGAAAUCCCCGGGCUCAACCUGGGAACUGCGUUUGUGACUGGCGGGCUAGAGUGCGGAAGAGGGAGGUGGAAUUCCACGUGUAGCAGUGAAAUGCGUAGAGAUGUGGAGGAACACCGAUGGCGAAGGCAGCCUCCUGGUCUAGCACUGACGCUCAUGCACGAAAGCGUGGGGAGCAAACAGG